rnacentral:tRNA from 1 species
GUCCCUGUAGCUCAAAUGGAUAGAGCCACCCUCUCCUAAAGGGUAGAUUCCAGUUCAAUUCUGGACGGGGACA